GCCAAAUCUAAAAGGUAAUAGACCUAUGUUGCUAAGGUAACUGAAAAGUCCAAGUUUGGGUUUGCAGAACUAACAAAACCAAUAAGAGUUGAAUUCUAUACAUCAAAGAAAUUUGCUGCAGUUUAGUAACUAAUGAACCCUAUUUUCAACAACUGUACCUUGAAUUUGUCAACAGGAGUCUUGGAAGAAAAGUUAACAUGGAUGGCAAUCAUCCACAUAGCAUUCCUCUUUAUUAAAAAUUCUCAUGGAUGCUUGGUCUCAAAUAAGACAUGAAAUUGGUGAUUUCUCCUCUUUCUCCUGAUUUGCACAGACCUUCCCUUUGAGAUCCACAGAUGUACAAUUGACAUGCUACAAUUAAGUCUUUUAAAAUACUGAUUUCAAAUCUGAAUUCUCACCUUGAAGUGUGUCAGUGGAAAGUUGUAUUUCCCCACUCUUUGCUUGCUUAUAGGCCACACUUUCAUUACUAAAUAACUCACACUAACAUACCCACCUACCUGCACCUGAAAUUUGAGCAUGUCCAUCCCAAAACCUGUCUACAAACUAUUGGGGCAUCUUGCAGGCUAAGUAUGUGC
rnacentral:lncRNA from 1 species